GAACUUAAGCAUAUCAAUAAGCGGAGGAAAAGAAACCAACAGGGAUUGCCUCAGUAACGGCGAGUGAAGCGGCAACAGCUCAAAUUUUAAAGCCGGCGUCCUCGACGCCCGCGUUGUAAUUUGGAGAGGCAUCUUCGGUUUGGGCGCCAGCCUAUGUUCCUUGGAACAGGACGUCACAGAGGGUGAGAAUCCCGUGCUUGGCUGGCUGUCCCUCUCCAUGUGAAGUGUCUUCGACGAGUCGAGUUGUUUGGGAAUGCAGCUCAAAAUGGGUGGUAAAUUUCAUCUAAAGCUAAAUAUUGGCGGGAGACCGAUAGCGCACAAGUAGAGUGAUCGAAAGAUGAAAAGCACUUUGAAAAUAGAGUUAAAAAGUACGUGAAAUUGUUGAAAGGGAAGCGCUUGAGACCAGACUCGGUCGAGGACGAUCAGCGGCCCUUCUGGGCCGUGCACUCGUCCUCGGUUCGGGCCAGCAUCGGUUGAGACGGCGGGAUAAAGGCCCGGGGAAUGUGGCUCCUCUCGGGGAGUGUUAUAGCCUCGGGCGCAAUGCCGCCAGCCUCGACCGAGGACCGCGCUCUUUUGCUAGGAUGCUGGCGUAAUGGUCUUCAGCGACCCGUCUUGAAACACGGACCAAGGAGUCUAACAUCUAUGCGAGUGUUUGGGUGUCAAACCCUUGCGCGUAAUGAAAGUGAACGGAGGUGGGAACCCCUCCUCUGGGGGGGCGCACCAUCGACCGAUCCUGAUGUCUUCGGAUGGAUUUGAGUAGGAGCAUAGCUGUUGGGACCCGAAAGAUGGUGAACUAUGCCUGAAUAGGGUGAAGCCAGAGGAAACUCUGGUGGAGGCUCGCAGCGGUUCUGACGUGCAAAUCGAUCGUCAAAUUUGGGUAUAGGGGCGAAAGACUAAUCGAACCAUCUAGUAGCUGGUUCCUGCCGAAGUUYCCC
rnacentral:rRNA from 1 species